rnacentral:rRNA from 1 species
AGCGAACGCUGGCGGCAGGCUUAACACAUGCAAGUCGAGCGGGCGUAGCAAUACGUCAGCGGCAGACGGGUGAGUAACGCGUGGGAACGUACCUUUUGGUUCGGAACAACACAGGGAAACUUGUGCUAAUACCGGAUAAGCCCUUACGGGGAAAGAUUUAUCGCCGAAAGAUCGGCCCGCGUCUGAUUAGCUUGUUGGUGAGGUAACGGCUCACCAAGGCGACGAUCAGUAGCUGGUCUGAGAGGAUGAUCAGCCACAUUGGGACUGAGAUACGGCCCAGACUCCUACGGGAGGCAGCAGUGGGGAAUAUUGGACAAUGGGGGCAACCCUGAUCCAGCAAUGCCGCGUGAGUGAUGAAGGCCUUCGGGUUGUAAAGCUCUUUUGUCCAGGGACGAUGAUGACGGUACCUGGAGAAUAAGCCCGGCUAACUUCGUGCCAGCAGCCGCGGUAA